rnacentral:lncRNA from 1 species
UUAUUCAACUAUAAUGGAGAAAGAAUUACAACAAUUGUAUUUCUCACAAUUAUUCUAACUUAUGUCAUAAAUCAACUUGUAAAGAAGAGCUAACUAUAUAUAGGAGACUUUUCAAAACUCUAACAAUAUUAUUGAAUAAUAAAACAGUAUAAAAGGGGUGUGGAAUAAAUGAAACAUUUUUUUUUUUAAAUUCAACUGAAUUUGGAUCACAAGUCCAACUCCAUCGAGGGUGGAUAAAGAGAACUUACGGAAAAUAAAUUUGAGGGGACAUUUCAACAACUUUUGAAAAGGAAAGGGAUAUUUGGUAACGAUUUUACGUAAUUUAUCAAUCUUAACAGGGUCGAAGGUCAGAUUGGAGUUUAAAAUAUUGACACCGUGAUUCUACUUCUAAAAACUUUAAGACUUCUAGUGACAAAGUAUACAUCCAAAGUUCUCCUCUAAAGCGUCUAAUGCCCCCUUUGGCAAAUUACCAAAGUUUGGUAACCAAACCAGGUCAUUGGAACCAUCGGGGGUGGUGUGUGGUUGGUCUUGGGUCCUUCUAGCAAUGGCUAAUCUAGGGUAUAGUUAGGGGUUGCACCAAAUUACAUCUUGAAGAAGUACAAUAAUUUAUAUAUUUUAAAAUGUAGAUUCCUUUCCAUUUAAUAAAGACGUUUAAAGCUUUUUCCAAGAUAAGCACGUUGAAGACUUAUUCCCAUCCAUCUCUUCAACUAUAUAGUGAAACAAAAUUAUUUUAUCAUAAUCACCUCACAACUGUCAACUACCACCAAGUAAUGCUUUUAUUAGACAUGGGAAACAUCGAAUAUGUCCCUCAAAAUUGGCUACAAUUUAUCACCAAUUAAACCCAUUAAAUACUCGUUAAUUCCAAUAGGAAGGCCAUGUAUAAAGAGUAAAGGGGUUUAUACUUUUAUACCAUUGUUAUAGAAUAGAAUAAUGCUAGAUGAUGCCCCUCACGGGUUGGUCGAAUUGGUGGAGUAGAUGAGCGCGGAGGUCUUUGGUUACAAGUUCGAUUCCCCCUACCAACAUUUUAUCGGUUAAACCUAUCGCACAAGACUUGCCUAGUGCUGUUUACCUGACUGGAGUGGUUUGUAAGCCAUUGCGUCAACUUGAAGGUUUACUCAGUGCGCACAUAAAGGGUAGCUGAUGCUCUCC